AACGUAGGAGGCGAGCGUUAUCCGGAGUUACUGGGCGUAAAGCGCGUGUAGGUGGUUGGAUACGUCUGCUGUGAAAUGUCCCGGCUUAACCGGGAGGGUGCGGCAGAUACGGUCUGACUUGAGGGCGACAGAGGAGCGUAGAAUUCCGGGUGUAGUGGUGAAAUGCGUAGAUAUCUGGAGGAACACCGGUGGCGAAGGCGGCAUCCUGGACCGGUAUUGACGCUGAGGCGCGAAAGCUAGGGGAGCAAACGGG
rnacentral:rRNA from 1 species